AGCACCGCGGCACCCGCGUACGUACGUAAGGAAGCACCGCGGCACCCGCGUACGUACGUAAUCAAGCACCGCGGCACCCGGGUGUCUACCUGACAAAGCACCGCGGCACCCGCGUGCCUACAUAACGAAGCACCGCGGCACCCGCGUACGUACGUAAGGAAGCACCGCGGCACCCGGGUACGUACGUAACGAAGCACCGCGGCACCCGCGUACGUACGUAACGAAGCAUCGCGGCACCCGCGUACGUACGUAAUGAAGCACCGCGGCACCCGGGUGUCUAUCUGACGAAGCACCGCGGCAUGCGGGUGCCUACCUGACGAAGCACCGCGGCACCCGCGUGCCCAGGUCUGAUCCUUCCAAAGGUGGGAGACAGGAAUUCUGUUUCUGUGUUACCAGAGCUGUCCAAACGACCGUCACUUCUUCCUUAAUGUGGAAAUGGUCUGUCCUGGAGAACGCUCCAUGUGUACUUGAAAGGAGUAUGCAUUCUGCUGCUGUUGAGUGGAGUCUUCUGCAGAGGUGUCUCUCUGUUCUUUUAUCAUGCCACCCUGGGGGCGUAGCGCCGUGUGUG